rnacentral:misc_RNA from 1 species
GGAGGAGCUUUCUGUCUUCUAAUAAAGUGAAGUUACGGUUCGUACUUUGCUUUGUAGCUUCUCGCAGGAAUCCUUCGCCGGGGUUUUAUUCGAGAAUAAAAUACGGAGGAGAUUCAUCGAGGUUGUACAAGAAAAUUCAAGGAGAGAAAAAAAAUACAGAAGGAAAAAGUAAAGCAAAGACUUUUUAUCAGAUCUGUUGAUUUUCAGGGACUUGGAUUUCGUUUCUUUAUUCACUCUCUGUUUGGCUUUUUAAGCUCUCUCUAAAGUAAUCAACUUUAUCUUGCUUUUUGCUGAGAAAAAUGGGCGUGAAAGUAGCUACGGCCUGUUUUCAAUGGUCGCAGCCAAUUAUAACUCAUUCUUCUUCGUCCUCUCAAACCCUAGCCUCUACAAUCUCAUCUCCUUCCUCAAAAAAACGGUGCUGUUCAGAUGGAACUAUUGCUGCAGGUCUCAUGUGUCGAUAUGUACACAGGCUUGACAGGUUCGCUCUGCUUGACACUUCAUCAACAAAACUCCGCAAGUCAUGGUCUUGUGAACAUCGAAAAUCGAGAGCUCGCACUGUAAAAACAGCUUGCAGUGCAAGCUUAGAUGCCUUCUUCGACGAAGAAUUUUCCAAGAAAAUCCAAGAGCUGGCACUCAGAUUCCAACUCUCAGAUGACAAUGGCGACUAUGUCAGUAGCGAAGUGGAUUUGGGAUCGGAGACGGUCUCUGAUUCCAGAGAUACUCAUGGCGUGAGUAGCUCAGAGAGUUAUAACAGUAUCACUCAAGAAUCUUCAAGUUUACAGAAUCAGAGACAAUUCCCUCUGGAUUCUGUAGAACCUCCGUGGCCAGAAAUUCAACAAGAGCCACCGGAUUGGUCUGAGAGGGAUGAUAUUAUUCCAGCCAGUAUCGAACGGAAAGCGAACAGCACUAACCUCCCUCUUUCGCUUCGAAUGAUAAAGAGAAAGAUGCAAUGGCAAGAGGGAUUCAGGGAAGUAGGGGAAUCUGCUUACUGUUCAGUGAAAAGGGCUUUUUCUUCUAUGGUGUUUAUAAUUCGAGAACUACAUAGCUAUUUUUUGCAAAUGAGAGAGCUUCUGUUCACUGAAGAUUUGCAGGGGAUUAUUGUUCGAGUACAGAAAGAAUUGCAUGGUUCCUUCGUUUGGUUAUUUCAACAAGUGUUCUCACACACACCGACUCUAAUGGUGUAUGUGAUGAUUCUGCUUGCUAAUUUCACAGUAUAUUCUAUGGGCAGUAACGUCUCAAUUGCAGCCGCGCCGCCACCUGUGUCUUAUGCAGCCACCACUGAAAGUGUUUCAGUUGUUGAAAUUCAAGACCAAAACAGACAAAAGUUUGAUUCUUCCUCAUUAAAAACGUUUUCAAUAUCUUCCUCAGGUGGCAAAUCGACUUUGAUCGGCGGUAACAAUGGCGAUGGUGGUAAGGUCAGGCCGGUUGCCAGUGGAACUGAUGGUGACGGUCUGUUCGACCGGUCGGACCAAUUUAGAACAUUUGUCCUUGAUGGUGCUUCGCAAUUGACCUCUCUAAGGACUACAGAGGAAGCAGAGUCAGUAUCAGGGCAAGGAACGAGAGAAGAGGAGUGUACAUGGAAUUCAAUUGUAGACGAAGCCUCAAAAAUGCAGGUUCUUGAUCAUGAGACCACGCAGAGAUUUGUUUCACCCAUAAAAGCAAAUGUUGAGCCGGAUGAUUAUGCAGAUUAUUUUAGAACAGAGCAACUAUAUCAAACGGGGUUGACCCAAGACCCUAAUAAUCCUCUCCUCCUCGCCAAUUAUGCUCAGUUCCUCUACCUCGUCGCCCGUGACUACGACAGAGCGGAAGAUUACUUUAAGAGAGCAAUUGGAGUAGAGCCGCCAGACGCUGAGGCCUACAGCAAAUAUGCAAGUUUUCUAUGGAGGGUAAGAAAGGACUUGUGGGCAGCAGAGGAAACCUUCCUGGAAGCCAUUAACGCUGACCCUACAAAUUCUUAUUAUGCUGCCAAUUAUGCCCAUUUUCUAUGGAACACUGGCGCUGAGGAUACUUGUUUCCCACUUUGCUCCCAAGAUAACCCCCAAGAACUCUAAUACACUGGGGGGGAAAAAAAGGAAAAAGUUGCAGAGAAGAUAAUUCUUAUCACUGCCUUAUCCAUCUCUUUAUUUCCACCUCUCGACUGAGAAAAGAAGUUGGUGAAAGUAAUAAAAAAUUGGAAAGAAAAGAUUAAAAAACUUUCUUAAUUAUUGGUGGAAGGUGUCAAGGAAUGUCUGGGAGGGUGUGGAACGGGAAGUGUAUUUCAUGUGGGGCGGUGUUUGGAAGCUGGGUUGCAUGUGACCGAGGAGGGAGUUUGGGAAGAAGCGAAUGGAAAAGUGGCAACUCAACACUCUGCUCUCGCGGAUCACAAUCGGCGGAUUUUACAGAGUUUCUCAAUAUGUAAAUAUUUUCCUUUCUGUUUGUAGGCGACACAACCACAUGGCAAAGUCAGUGUAGUUAUCAGAUUUGUUAAAACAUUCCCUUUUUAAUUAGAGAGUUUUUUAUUUG